rnacentral:rRNA from 1 species
ACAAGGCCUGAGCUCUACAAGACUACCUGCUGAAUUUAAGCAUAUAAUUAGCGAGGAAAAGGAACUAACAAGGAUUCCUUUGGUAAUGGCGAAUGACCAAGGAAUAGCUCAAAAUGGAAAUCGGCCGUCGUUAGUUUGGCGGUGGAAUUGUAGUCUCGAGAGGCGGCACCAGCGAAGGAUUCAGGCUAAGUCUUGUGGAAGCAAGUGCGAGGCAGGGUGAAGGUCCCGUGCGUGCCUGAUUAUAGCAGUCUUCGCGGACGGUACGCUUUCAUGGAGUCGUGUUCCUUGGAAGUGGAGCACAAAUCAAAUGGGUGGUAUACUUCAUCUAAAGCAAAAUACAGGUGGGACACCGAUAGCGCACAAGUACCGUGAGGGAAAGAUGCAAAGAACUUUGGAAAGAGGGUUAAAAGUGCCUGAAAUCGUUGGAAUGGAAGUGGUUGGUGCCUAGGUCUCUUGGCGGACGGCUUAUUUGCAACAUUAGAGUGUUUGGAUCGAUCAUCUUCAAUUGCGAAGGGUUCGUUCAUUCAUUCUCUNUUGACGCUAAUGAGCGGUCCGUUGAGUUGAUGCCUUCCACCAGUUGGGAAACACCAGUGACUGCUCGGUAUUGAAUCNCGUCCUCUCUAGGGUAGGAAGNUGCGGCUGAGCAAUUUAGUCCUGCGUGUGGCCGACUGCCCAAAGUGUCGCUAGCGGUAUGCAAUAUUUUAUUGCACAUCCAAGAGUGGUGGCUUGUUNNNNNNNNNNNNNNNNNNNNNNNNNNNNNNNNNNNNNNNNNNNNNNNNNNNNNNNNNCCAAGGUGGGGUGGCAACCCGUACGCGAAAUGAAAGUAAUUAGAUGCUAUGCGAAUUAAUUAGCAAGCGUCGCCGAUCGAGCUCCUUGUUGGGCACGGGUUGCGUGUGAGCAAAUCUGUUAGGACCCNAAAGAUGGUGAACUAUGCCUGAGUAGGGUGAGGCCAGGGGAAACUCUGGUGGAGGCUCNCAGCGAUACUGACGUGCAAAUCGUUCGUCAAAUUUGGGUAUAGGGGCGAAAGACUAAUCNAACCAUCUAGUAGCUGGUUCCCUCCGAAGUUUCCCUCAGGAUAGCUGGAGCAACAAUUGCNAAGAANCGCANUUGUACCAGGUAAAGCGAAUGAUUAGAGGCAUUGGGAGCGUGUCGCUCUCGACCUAUUCUCAAACUUUAAAUGGGUACGAAUGGAUUCUUCUUUCUUAAUUGAAGAAGCCAACCUCUUUUGAAAUGCGUGCUCUAUGUUGGGCCAUUUUUUGGUAAAGCAGAACUGGCGAUGAGGGAUGCUCCNUAACGCUAGGUUAAGGCGCCGAAGUCACCGCUCAUGAGAUCCCAUAAAAGGUGUUGGUUCAUUUAGACAGCAGGACGGUGGUCAUGGAAGUAGAAAUCCGCUAAGGAGUGUGUAACAACUCACCUGCCGAAUGAAUUAGCCCUGAAAAUGGAUGGCGCUGCAGCGGUGCGCCGAUACCUAGCCGACAAGGCAAUUAAUAGNAAAGUCUUGUUGAGUAGGAGGGCGUGGUGCUGGCUUUGGAGCUUCUCUGUGAAGGGGAGUUGAGCUGGUACCAGUGCAGAUCUUGGUGGUAGUAGCAAUUAUUCAAGCGCGAACUUUGAAGACUGAAGUGGAGAAGGGUUCCAUGUGAACAGCAAUUGGACAUGGGUUAGGCGGUCCUAAGGGACAGGAGAAAUCCGUUAACCUUACGUAGCAUUAGUUUGCUUUACGUGACUCCCGAAAGGGAAUCGGGUUAAAAUUCCCGACCCAGGACGUGGAUACUGUGUGGCAACACAAAUCGAAAUCCGAAACGCAGGUAGGAGCUCUGGAUAGCGUUUUCUUUGCUACCUGACAGUCAACUGCCCUGGAAUCAGUUUAUCUGGAGAAAGGGAUGUAACGACUGGCAAAGCAUCGCGUUCUUCGCGAUGUCCGGCACGCUCCUAACUGCCCAUGAAACUCGGAUGGGAAGAUAUUAUUCGCACCCCUGGCCGUACCGACAACCGCAUCAGGUCUCCAAGGUUAGCAGCCUCUGGUCAAUUAGGCCAAAGCAGAUAAG